rnacentral:rRNA from 1 species
AAUGGGCGCAAGCCUGAUCCAGCCAUGCCGCGUGUCUGAAGAAGGCCUUCGGGUUGUAAAGGACUUUUGUCAGGGAGGAAAUCCUAGUGGCUAAUAACUGCUGGGGAUGACAGUACCUGAAGAAUAAGCACCGGCUAACUACGUGCCAGCAGCCGCGGUAAUACGUAGGGUGCAAGCGUUAAUCGGAAUUACUGGGCGUAAAGCGUGCGCAGGCGGUUUUGUAAGACAGAGGUGAAAUCCCCGGGCUCAACCUGGGAACUGCCUUUGUGACUGCAAGGCUAGAGUACGGCAGAGGGGGAUGGAAUUCCGCGUGUAGCAGUGAAAUGCGUAGAUAUGCGGAGGAACACCGAUGGCGAAGGCAAUCCCCUGGGCCUGUACUGACGCUCAUGCACGAAAGCGUGGGGAGCAAACAGGAUUAGAUACCCUGGUAGUCCACGCCCUAAACGAUGUCAACUGGUUGUUGGGUCUUAACUGACUCAGUAACGAAGCUAACGCGUGAAGUUGACCGCCUG